rnacentral:rRNA from 1 species
GACGAACGCUGGCGGCGUGCUUAACACAUGCAAGUCGAACGGAAAGGCCCUGCUUUUGUGGGGUGCUCGAGUGGCGAACGGGUGAGUAACACGUGAGUAACCUGCCCUUGACUUUGGGAUAACUUCAGGAAACUGGGGCUAAUACCGGAUAGGAGCUCCUGCUGCAUGGUGGGGGUUGGAAAGUUUCGGCGGUUGGGGAUGGACUCGCGGCUUAUCAGCUUGUUGGUGGGGUAGUGGCUUACCAAGGCUUUGACGGGUAGCCGGCCUGAGAGGGUGACCGGCCACAUUGGGACUGAGAUGCGACCCAGACUCCUACGGGAGGCAGCAGUGGGGAAUAUUGCACAAUGGGCGGAAGCCUGAUGCAGCAACGCCGCGUGCGGGAUGACGGCCUUCGGGUUGUAAACCGCUUUCGCCUGUGACGAAGCGUGAGUGACGGUAAUGGGUAAAGAAGCACCGGCUAACUACGUG